AGAGCGAACGCUGGCGGCAUGCUUAACACAUGCAAGUCGCACGGGCACUUCGGUGUCAGUGGCGGACGGGUGAGUAACGCGUAGGUAUCUAUCCUUGGGUGGGGGACAACGGUUGGAAACGACUGCUAAUACCGCAUAAUAACUGAGGUUUAAAGGCGCAAGUCGCCUGAGGAGGAGCCUGCGUACGAUUAGCUAGUUGGUGGGGUAAAGGCCUACCAAGGCGACGAUCGUUAGCUGGUCUGAGAGGAUGAUCAGCCACAUUGGGACUGAGACACGGCCCAAACUCCUACGGGAGGCAGCAGUGGGAAUAUUGGACAAUGGGCGAAAGCCUGAUCCAGCAAUGCCGCGUGUGUGAAGAAGGUCUUCGGAUUGUAAAGCACUUUCAGUGGGGAAGAUAAUGACGGUACCCACAGAAGAAGCCCCGGCUAACUUCGUGCCAGCAGCCGC
rnacentral:rRNA from 1 species